rnacentral:rRNA from 1 species
GCAGCCGCGGUAAUACGUAGGUUGCAAGCGUUGUCCGGAUUUACUGGGUGUAAAGGGCGUGUAGGCGGAGCUGCAAGUCAGAUGUGAAAUCCCGGGGCUCAACCCCGGAACUGCAUUUGAAACUGUAGCCCUUGAGUAUCGGAGAGGCAAGCGGAAUUCCUAGUGUAGCGGUGAAAUGCGUAGAUAUUAGGAGGAACACCAGUGGCGAAGGCGGCUUGCUGGACGACAACUGACGCUGAGGCGCGAAAGCGUGGGGAGCAAACAGGAUUAGAUACCCC